UACAGAGGGUGCAAGCGUUAUUCGGAAUUACUGGGCGUAAAGCGCGCGUAGGCGGCGUGAUAAGUCGGUUGUGAAAGCCCCGGGCUCAACCUGGGAACGGCAUCCGGAACUGUCAGGCUAGAGUGCAGGAGAGGAAGGUAGAAUUCCCGGUGUAGCGGUGAAAUGCGUAGAGAUCGGGAGGAAUACCAGUGGCGAAGGCGGCCUUCUGGACUGACACUGACGCUGAGGUGCGAAAGCGUGGGUAGCAAACAGG
rnacentral:rRNA from 1 species